rnacentral:rRNA from 1 species
GAUGAACGCUGGCGGCGUGCUUAACACAUGCAAGUCGAACGGAAUUCAAAAGUGGAAGUUUUCGGAUGGAAACUUUUGGAUUUAGUGGCGGACGGGUGAGUAACGCGUGGGUAACCUGCCGUAUACAGGGGGAUAACACUUAGAAAUAGGUGCUAAUACCGCAUAAGCGCACGGUGUCGCAUGACACAGUGUGAAAAGCCUCGACGGUAUACGAUGGACCCGCGUCUGAUUAGCUAGUUGGUGAGGUAGUAGCUCACCAAGGCGACGAUCAGUAGCCGGCCUGAGAGGGUGACCGGCCACAUUGGGACUGAGACACGGCCCAA